rnacentral:rRNA from 1 species
GGGGGCCCGCACAAGCGGUGGAGCAUGUGGUUUAAUUCGACGCAACGCGCAGAACCUUACCAGCCCUUGACAUGUCCAGGACCGGUCGCAGAGACGUGACCUUCUCUUCGGAGCCUGGAACACAGGUGCUGCAUGGCUGUCGUCAGCUCGUGUCGUGAGAUGUUGGGUUAAGUCCCGCAACGAGCGCAACCCCCGUCCUUAGUUGCUACCAUUUAGUUGAGCACUCUAAGGAGACUGCCGGUGAUAAGCCGCGAGGAAGGUGGGGAUGACGUCAAGUCCUCAUGGCCCUUACGGGCUGGGCUACACACGUGCUACAAUGGCGGUGACAGUGGGAUGCGAAGACGCAAGUCCUAGCAAAUCUCAAAAAGCCGUCUCAGUUCGGAUUGGGCUCUGCAACUCGAGCCCAUGAAGUUGGAAUCGCUAGUAAUCGUGGAUCAGCACGCCACGGUGAAUACGUUCCCGGGCCUUGUACACACCGCCCGUCACACCAUGGGAGUUGGCUUUACCUGAAGACGGUGCGCUAACCAGCAAUGGAGGCAGCCGGCCACGGUAGGGUCAGCGACUGGGGUGAAGUCGUAACAA